rnacentral:rRNA from 1 species
UACGAAGGGGGCUAGCGUUGUUCGGAUUUACUGGGCGUAAAGCGCACGUAGGCGGCUCGAUCAGUCAGGGGUGAAAUCCCAGGGCUCAACCCUGGAACUGCCUUUGAUACUGUCGAUCUGGAGUAUGGAAGAGGUGAGUGGAAUUCCGGGUGUAGAGGUGAAAUUCGUAGAUAUCUGGAGGAAUACCGGUGGCGAAGGCGGCAGCCUGGGCCGACAUUGACGCUGAGGAGCGAAAGCCAGGGGAGCAAACGGG